rnacentral:rRNA from 1 species
CCCAACACACAAAACAAGCGGUGAGUGCUUUGGGGUGGGGUGACUGCGUACCUUUUGUAUAAUGGGUCAGCGACUUAUAUUCUGUAGCAAGGUUAACCGUAUAGGGGAGCCGAAGGGAAACCGAGUCUUAACUGGGCGUUAAGUUGCAGGGUAUAGACCCGAAACCCGGUGAUCUAGCCAUGGGCAGGUUGAAGGUUGGGUAACACUAACUGGAGGACCGAACCGACUAAUGUUGAAAAAUUAGCGGAUGACUUGUGGCUGGGGGUGAAAGGCCAAUCAAACCGGGAGAUAGCUGGUUCUCCCCGAAAGCUAUUUAGGUAGCGCCUCGUGAACUCAUCUUCGGGGGUAGAGCACUGUUUCGGCUAGGGGGUCAUCCCGACUUACCAACCCGAUGCAAACUGCGAAUACCGAAGAAUGUUAUCACGGGAGACACACGGCGGGUGCUAACGUCCGUCGUGAAGAGGGAAACAACCCAGACCGCCAGCUAAGGUCCCAAAGUCACAGUUAAGUGGGAAACGAUGUGGGAAGGCUCAGACAGCCAGGAUGUUGGCUUAGAAGCAGCCAUCAUUUAAAGAAAGCGUAAUAGCUCACUGGUCGAGUCGGCCUGCGCGGAAGAUGUAACGGGGCUAAACUGUGCACCGAAGCUGCGGCAGCGACGCUUAUGCGUUGUUGGGUAGGGGAGCGUUCUGUAAGCCUGCGAAGGUGUCCUGUGAGGGAUGCUGGAGGUAUCAGAAGUGCGAAUGCUGACAUAAGUAACGAUAA